CAGUCUCUGAGUCUCUGCUGAGUCACGCUGCUUCGUGCGUCUGCAGUCUGACUGAGGAUCAGAUUUAAUGGGACUUUGACUGCAGGAUGAAGAUGCUGCUGAUGCUGCUGCUCCUCUUACUGGUUUCCCAGCAUGCUUCAGCUGUGGAGGUGUAUCAGGGGGUGGAGUCUGUCCUGCUGCUCUGUCAGGUACCAGCUGGUGUUGCCAGUGACUCCACAGCAGCAGUGUGGGACCGUGAGGAGCUCCGCACUCCAACAGUUCACGUGCGUCUGCAGAGCGGUGACGAUUUUAAAGAACAAAACAAUCGAUACACCAACCGAACAUCACUGAGAGCUGACGCUCUGCAGACUGGAAACCUCAGCCUCACUCUGAGGAACCCUACAGUCUCUGACAGUGGAAACUACACCUGCACCACCCGCAAACAUGGACGAGAUCAGAGCAAGAUCCAUGUUCAACUGAAGGUCACAGAACAUCCUCCUCCUCCUCCUCCUCCACCUCCUCCAGUCUGGCCCAUAGUUCUCUUUGCUCUUCUGGUUCCUGUGGUUCUGCUGGCUGCUGCCUUUGGUGUCUUCAUGUAUCCCAGAUAUAAAAUGUUGAAGAUGAGAAAAGAUUACCCUUUGGAGAUGGUGGAGGUGGCACAGGAAGAGAAGUCUGUCCUGCUGCCCUUUAAAAUCGAUGAAGAAGAUGGUGUUCCUCAGGACGUCAAAGUUGAGUGGAAACACCAAAACAUGACGGUCUAUGUGUAUCAGAACAAUGAACACCAGCAUCUCUUACAGGACCAGUAUCACAGAGACCGCACAGAGAUGAAUGAAGAUCCUCUGAGAAAUAAAGACUUCACUCUGACCCUGAAAGACCACCAACUUAGUGACCGUGGUGGCUACACCUGCAACGUCUACAACAAGAAGGGAUAGAUCCUGCUACACAAAGUAGUCUCACUAAAUGUCACAGCAGGAAGUGGUGGUGCAGUCCAGCUUCAAAUGUUGGCCACCACUUUUUGCCUGGCAACUCACAGGGAUGUGGAUGAUGGGAUGAUGAUGUGGAUGUAACUCUGCUGUGGAGAUGUGAAAAAGUGAUGGUCCACACGUAUCAGAGAGACCAGAGUCAGCCUCACAUACAAGGGCGCACUGAGAUGAAGAAAGACCCACUGAACACUAAAGACCUCAGUCUGACCCUGAAAGACCUCCACCUCACUGACAGUGGAGUCUACACCUGCACCGUCUACAACAAGGAUGGACACAUGAAAUCAGUAACUCUCAGUGUCAGAGAAACGCCAGACACAGGUGUCCAAAAGAUAGACACGUCUGACGCACAAGAAACACCAAAUACAGCUGUCCAACAGGGAGACACAGACCAGGAAACAACUCAAAGAGAUGCAGAUGUGGAACAUGGAGUCACACCUGGCACAGGUCAGCAACUUCCUCACAGAGAAAAAAACGACAGAUACAGAUUUCCAGCAGGGAGACACGUCUGACACAGGAUGGGGGAAUACUGUUACUGGAUGGGUGAGCCAAAAGGUGGCCAGGCUGUGGCUCAAAGUGGACGAAAUGGAACUGGAGUAUGAAGAACAGACCCUCUGUUAGCUUGUUGUGGUUCAUACACUGUAAAGUAUGUGGUGUAACUAUGAUACCAUAAACAUGAAGAUGCAGCUUUGCUUUGACCUUCCUCUGCUAACAGCUGAACAACCUCAGCCAGCUGUUUCUCUAACAUUAGAAGCUCAUAAUGAUGAUGAUCCAGAGUGUGUUGUUCCUCAGUGUUGUUCCCGGUGCUGCUGUGCUGUUUCCUUGUGUUCUGAUGGAUCUCCAUCUAUAGCCGUGUGCUGAAGCCUGAGUGUGUUAUCCAUAUCAGUGUGACAUGAACUCUAAUCUGAAUGUGUUGUAAUGGUUCAUUAGAACAAACUUGCUGCAUGUAUUUAUUUAUUCACUGAGUAUCAAAGUGUUGAACUGUGAGGUAAAAGUUCAACACUUUGCCAGGUCUCUCUUGGAAAUGAGAUUUUAAAUCUCAAUGAGAUUUUUACCUGAAUAAAUAAAGGACUAAAAAAGGAAAACUUUAACAUUGAUUCCUUCUCUGUGUAAAGCUGGUGUCAUAUGUUGUCUUCAUAUAAAGUUUUAAUAUCAGAUAUACUCAACUGUACGUGUUAUUCUAUGUAUUCUGUAACCAUUACGAUAGAUGACAUGUUUCUAUAAAUGACUCUGUGAUUGUUGCUGUUGUGAUGUUUUGUUUUUUGAUCCUCUGCAAACACAAAGACCACCUGUUUGUGUAGAUCAGUGUUUCCCAUGAAACAAACUUGUAAAUUCUGUAUUUUAAUCUCUUCCACUGGAGUUCUUUGUGGACAUAACAUGAACCUGAUACCAA